GUCUACAGUCAUACCACCCUGAAUGUGUCCCAUCUCAUCUGAUCUUGGAAGCUGAGCAGAGUUAGGCCUUGUUAGGCCUUUUCUCCCAACUUAUCCAAGUUAGCACUUGGAUAAGAGAAAAGGAGCACCAGACU
rnacentral:rRNA from 1 species